rnacentral:rRNA from 1 species
AUGGCGGCGACCCGCUCGCUCCUCCUCUGCGCCGCCGUCCUCCUCGCCGCCCUCUCCUGCACCUUCGCCGCCGACGCGCCCUUCCUCGUCGCGCACAAGAAGGUGGCCCUCUCCCGCCCCAAGCCCGGCGUCGAGCGCCUCGCCGUCUCCCUCGACCUCUACAACCAGGGAUCCGCAACUGCAUAUGAUGUGGCCAUUAAUGAUGACUCGUGGCCAAAGGAAGCAUUUGAACUUGUCUCUGGAGAGGUCUCAAAGACUUUGGAAAGGCUUGAACCUGGUGCCACUGCUUCGCACGCGUUUGUAUUGGAGAGCAAAACACAGGGCAGGUUCCAAGCUUCACCUGCUGUUAUCAAGUACCGUGUUGCCACAAAGGCUGCACUUCAGGAGGCCUACUCAACUCCCAUCCUCCCCCUGGACAUUCUUGCUGAAAGACCUCCAGUGAAGAAGUUUGAAUGGGCUAAGAAACUUGUUGCGAAGUAUGGAGCACUGGUGUCCGUUGUUUCCUUCGUUCUGGGGUUCAUCUACCUGGUCGCGAGCCCAUCGAAAUCUGCCGGCUCAAAGUCUGGCAAGAAGAGGCGCUGA